rnacentral:rRNA from 1 species
AGUGAACGCUGGCGGUAGGCCUAACACAUGCGAGUCGAACGGCAGCACAGUAAGAGCUUGCUCUUACGGGUGGCGAGUGGCGGACGGGUGAGGAAUACAUCGGAAUCUACUUUUUCGUGGGGGAUAACGUAGGGAAACUUACGCUAAUACCGCAUACGACCUACGGGUGAAAGCAGGGGAUCUUCGGACCUUGCGCGAUUGAAUGAUCCGAUGUCGGAUUAGCUAGUUGGCGGGGUAAAGGCCCACCAAGGCGACGAUCCGUAGCUGGUCUGAGAGGAUGAUCAGCCACACUGGAACUGAGACACGGUCCAGACUCCUACGGGAGGCAGCAGUGGGGAAUAUUGGACAAUGGGCGCAAGCCUGAUCCAGCCAUACCGCGUGGGUGAAGAAGGCCUUCGGGUUGUAAAGCCCUUUUGUUGGGAAAGAAAAGCAGCAGGUUAAUACCCCGCUGUUCUGACGGUACCCAAAGAAUAAGCACCGGCUAACUUCGUG